GGCCCGGUAGCUCAGUUGGUUAGAGCAGGGAACUCAUAAUUCCUUGGUCGGGGGUUCAAGUCCCUCCCGGGCUA
rnacentral:tRNA from 1 species